rnacentral:lncRNA from 1 species
GUCAGCUCCUGCUCCCCAAAACUUGGGAGGACUUUGCUGUUUGCUGCUCUACGGUAGAAAGAGACCUUCGUGGUCUUUCCUCUCCAAGGACAGCACCGGUUGCCUGAGCAAGUGAUGGUCACCUGUAUUCACAGGUGUUUCGAAGUUUCUUAAUGUUAAAAAGGAAGAGGAAAGAAGCUGUUUGCAGAGGUGCAUCCACUCUCUUCCACUCUUGCUAUGCUCGGUGAUCAAAUGGGAGCGGUCUUUCUCAUGUUUCUGCUCCUCAUUUGCCUCCUGCAUGUAAGAUUAUAACAACAUCUGCUCCGAACCUCUGUAGGCAUCUACACAAAGUAUUCCCCCUCCGGUCCUCCCAGAGCACACACCCGAUGGAAGGAGAAAAAAAUGCCCUUUCCUACAACUCCAGCCAGCCCGUCCUGCUUGGACCAUCCACGCUGUUCUGCCACCCUUGGAAUUCUCCCAUCGUAGGUGGUGUGUUGCCUGCCUGGGAGCUCCUGCAGCCCUGCCUGCGUGGAGGAACAAGGAUGUGAUAAUACCGGGCCCUGGAGCUGCAAAUGCAGAACGAACCAAGGAGUAAAAGAAUUGACAAGACAAGCAGUGGUGGGAAAUGGAGGGAAGACUGUGAAAAAGGUUAUAAUAAAUAAUAAGAAAUGUUGCAUGGGCCAAAGGAAUAAUAGAUCAGCGAUGGAAAGACUCUAAAAGCUGCUGAGGGUUAUUUAUUGAUGGACAUUGUUUAAAAGAAAAAAAAAUCAGUGACAGUUUUCCUUCGUGUUCACCAAGGCAGAUGGCGGGGCAGGUGCCAGAAUGAAAGAUAAAUUUCCUUUUGCAUAAAGAAGAAAUAUUGAAGGAAACUGAGCAGAGGUGAUGGAGAAAUUAGAGCGUUGAAAGACCCUGAAAGCACGCGGUCCAUGUCAGCCCUCUCUCAGGAUUUUCAGCUGAGUCAGCAGAAAGCAGGAAAAACUGUUGCGGGAAAUGAGAACCUCUUUGAAGACCAGUAAUGGAGAGGUUCCUGCAAGUGUCACGUCCAGAGGUCUGAGGAAAGCCUUCCAGGAAUUAAAGUUGGUGGUGCAGAAGGUACCUCCGCGUGGCUGAGUGGCCAACGUGCAUCGUAAUCUGGGACUGCAGUAGAGACAUAGUUAGAAGUUAUGAAUGUAAUGAAGGGAAACCAUCAAAGAUUCAGAAAUUGGAAGCUGGGCCAAUAAUGGGAGAGGAAAACGGACAGAGGGUUUCUGAGGACUUUGUGCAAAUCAUGAGCCAGGGAGAGCCAAGAGAUACAACUUGUGCAGUGGCAGCAAAGGUUGGGUGUAACACGUUCAAAAAGCAUAACAUGGAGUGGAAGUGAUGAGUGUGGGACAUGGAAGCGCCUGGUGGAGCUCUGAGCUGGUGGUACACACAGAGCUGCUGUGAGGAUGCAUUGGUUUCUGUUGCCUUGGCUGUGAGCGGGGGGUUGGGGGGGUCUGUGGGCACCGGAGUGAAUGUAACUGAGGUACAAGAGAGACAUGAGGAAAGGAACAAACCCUGCAGGAGCUGAGGGCACCUGGCCUGGCUGGGGAACCUGCAGGGUGGGUCCAUCCCAAGGCCAGCAGCUGUGCCUCUGCAACAUGUGCUAGGGAGUUCUAAUUAACAGCUCUCCAACCGUCCCUGCAGUGGGUGAGUGCAAAUUAGACGGCUGUUGUAAACAUGGUGAAUCAGACUUGCCAACGGUUAACCAGGAGGAAAACCGUUUAUCUGAGAGUGGAGUUUGUUUUUUGGGGGGCAAAACAGCAUCACUGUGGGUCUGUCCCCAUGGCCGUUCAUCUGAUAUCCAAACAGCAUUAAAUCACUCAUCGUUUUGCUCACAGUCAGCAGGUAAUGGGGGCUGACAGGAAGGAUCUGUUACUGCGUGUCCUCACGUCUUUGUUUCAGGGAAGCCUCCUGCCCUCCUACAGCGGAGGAACGUGGCAGCCUGCACCCACGUUUGCGCACACAAACCCCACCCUGUCGGCUGAAACCCCUCAGAAAGUCCCAUCGGGUGAUGGCCGUGACGGGGUUGUAGGGGGCCUUCAUCAGCCCUCAGCUGGGGGGUCUGCGGUGUAAGGAGGGAGCGAGGAGGGAGGUUCUCCAGCACAGCUGCACCGCAGAGCUCGCGCUGCCUGGGGGGCCCGGCCCGCCUCGGUCCUCAAACAGAAGGAAGCGAGGAAAAGACGACGCCGCGCGUCCCCUGGAAGCAGGGCAUGCCCGCCGCUCCCCGACGGCCGCAGCAG